rnacentral:rRNA from 1 species
AACGAACGCUGGCGGCAGGCCUAACACAUGCAAGUCGAACGCUGUAGCAAUACAGAGUGGCAGACGGGUGAGUAACGCGUGGGAACCUUCCCAAUGGUACGGAAUAGCUCAGGGAAACUUGAGGUAAUACCGUAUAAGCCCCUAGGGGGAAAGAUUUAUCGCCAUUGGAUGGGCCCGCGUCGGAUUAGCUAGUUGGUGAGGUAAUGGCUCACCAAGGCGACGAUCCGUAGCUGGUUUGAGAGAAUGACCAGCCACACUGGGACUGAGACACGGCCCAGACUCCUACGGGAGGCAGCAGUGGGGAAUCUUGGACAAUGGGCGAAAGCUUGAUCCAGCCAUGCCGCGUGAGUGACGAAGGCCUUAGGGUUGUAAAGCUCUUUUGCCGGGGACGAUAAUGACGGUACCCGGAGAAUAAGUCCCGGCUAACUUCGUGCCAGCAGCCGCAGUAAAAC